CGCACGAGCGCACCCCUAUGUUUAGUUGCCAGCAUGUAAUGGUGGGGACUCUAAACAGACUGCCUGUGCAAACAGAGAGGAAGGAGGGGACGACGUCAAGUCAUCAUGGCCCUUACGUCCGGGGCUACACACGUGCUACAAUGGAUGGUACAGAGGGCCGCUACCUGGUAACAGGAUGCCAAUCUCAAAAAGCCAUUCACAGUUCGGAUAGAGGUCUGCAACUCGACCUCUUGAAGUUGGAUUCGCUAGUAAUCGCAUAUCAGCAAUGAUGCGGUGAAUACGUUCCCGGGCCUUGUACACACCGCCCGUCAAGCCAUGGAAGUUGGGGGUACCUGAAGUACGUAACCGCAAGGAGCGUCCUAGGGUAAAACCGAUAACUGGGGCUAAGUCGUAACAAGGUAGCCGUACCGGAAGGUGCGGCUGGAAUACCUCCUUU
rnacentral:rRNA from 1 species